GAUGAACGCUGGCGGCGUGCCUAAUACAUGCAAGUCGAGCGAACAGACGAGGAGCUUGCUCCUCUGACGUUAGCGGCGGACGGGUGAGUAACACGUGGAUAACCUACCUAUAAGACUGGGAUAACUUCGGGAAACCGGAGCUAAUACCGGAUAAUAUAUUGAACCGCAUGGUUCAAUAGUGAAAGACGGUUUUGCUGUCACUUAUAGAUGGAUCCGCGCCGCAUUAGCUAGUUGGUAAGGUAACGGCUUACCAAGGCAACGAUACGUAGCCGACCUGAGAGGGUGAUCGGCCACACUGGAACUGACACACGGUCCAGCCUCCUGCGGGAGGCAGCAGUAGGGAAUCUUCCGCAAUGGGCGAAAGCCUGACGGAGCAACGCCGCGUGAGUGAUGAAGGUCUUCGGAUCGUAAAACUCUGUUAUUAGGGAAGAACAAAUGUGUAAGUAACUAUGCACGUCUUGACGGUACCUAAUCAGAAAACCACGGCUAACUACGU
rnacentral:rRNA from 1 species